GAGUUUGAUCGUGGCUCAGAUUGAACGCUGGCGGCAUGCCUUACACAUGCAAGUCGAACGGCAGCACGGGAGCUUGCUCCUGGUGGGCGAGUGGCGAACGGGUGAGUAAUGCAUCGGAACGUAUCCUGGAGUGGGGGAUGACGUAGCGAAAGUUACGCUAAUACCGCAUAUUCUGUGAGCAGGAAAGCGGGGGACCUUCGGGCCUCGCGCUCUUGGAGCGGCCGAUGUCGGAUUAGCUAGUUGGUGAGGUAAAGGGCUCACCAAGGCGACGAUCCGUAGCAGGUCUGAGAGGAUGAUCUGCCACACUGGAACUGAGACACGGUCCAGACUCCUACGGGAGGCAGCAGUGGGGAAUUUUGGACAAUGGGGGCAACCCUGAUCCAGCCAUGCCGCGUGAGUGAAGAAGGCCUCGG
rnacentral:rRNA from 1 species